UGGGGAAUUUUGCGUAAUGGGCGAAAGCCUGACGCAGCAAUCUCGCGUGGAGGAUGAAGCUCUAUGGGGUGUAAACUCCUUUUCUGGUGGAAGACGAUUGACGGUACACCAGGAAUAAAGGACGGCCAACCACGUGCCAGCAGCCGCGGUAAUACGUGGGUCCUAAGUGUUAUCCGGAUUUACUGGGCGUAAAGCGUCUGUAGCCGGUUAAGUAAGUCAGUUUUUAAAUACCCCGAUUCAAUCGGGGAAAGGGAAUAGAUACUACUUGUCUAGAAAUUGUCAGAGGUUAGUGGAAUUUCCGGUGGAGCGGUGAAAUGCGUUGAUAUUGGAAGGAACGCCAAAAGCGAAAGCAGCUAACUAUGACACAUUUGACGGUCAGAGACGAAAGUUUGGGGAGCAAACAGG
rnacentral:rRNA from 1 species